CAAUAGCGUAUAUUAAAGUUGUUGCAGUUAAAAAGCUCGUAGUUGGAUUUCUGGUUUGAACGUCCGGUCGUUUUGCGCUCGUCGUAAAUUGUACUAUGGAUAUUCGGACCAUUUUUUGUGAGGAAAUUCUUCUGCCAUUAAGUUGGUGGUUUUAUGGACUCGCAUCGUUUACUGUGAAAAAAUUAGAGUGUUUAAAGCAGGCAUUUGCUCAUUGAAUACAUUAGCAUGGAAUAAUAAAAUACGACCUUGGUGGUCUAUUUUGUUGGUUUGCACACCAGGGUAAUGAUUAAUAGGGACAGUUGGGGGUAUUCAUAUUUCAGCGUCAGAGGUGAAAUUCUUAGAUUGCCGAAAGACAAACUGCUGCGAAAGCGUCUGCCAAGGAUGUUUUCAUUGA
rnacentral:rRNA from 1 species